rnacentral:rRNA from 1 species
GCGGUCGGAGCCCGCAAGGGUGACGGCGUGCCUUUUGCAUAAUGAGCCUACGAGUUACUCCUCACUGGCAAGGUUAAGGUCUUCAGUACCGGAGCCGUAGCGAAAGCAAGUUCUAACAGAGCGAAUUUAGUCAGUGGGGGUAGACGCGAAACUUUGUGAUCUAUCCAUGGGCAGGGUGAAGGUUAGGUAAAACUAACUGGAGGCCCGAACUCAUUAGCGUUGAAA